GCCUAAUGCUAUUUCAACAUGUUUUAAAUUAUCUACUUUAUGUAAAGAUUUGCCAGUGGAUUUCUGGAAUGGUGGACAGGGAGUAAGAUCCCUAGAUAGGAGCAUGCUGACAGACCAGGAAGAAAGUGGAUGUUGCACAGCAGAGGUGAACGCCAGAAGUAGCACACCAUAGAUGUUAGCUGGGACGUUGCGUGUCUGCAGAGCCGGAGCUGAUGUGACUGAGGAGAAAGCUUGCUGUUGCUGGAGCAGACCGAGACCAGUGUUGAAAUGGAGAAAGGAGGCCUUGAUGGGAAUUGGGAGGGUGAAUGCUGUGUUACGUGCUACACACUCAUUAAUGCCAGUGUGAUCCGUGUGACCUGACAGGAGUACGAACUAUGAAUCAACAAGC